rnacentral:rRNA from 1 species
UUCUUUGGAAUAUUACAUCAUAGAGGGUGAGAAUCCCGUAUGUGACCGGUCGCCGCGCCCGUGUAAAGCUCUUUCAACGAGUCGAGUUGUUUGGGAAUGCAGCUCAAAAUGGGAGGUAUAUUUCUUCUAAAGCUAAAUAUUGGCCAGAGACCGAUAGCGCACAAGUAGAGUGAUCGAAAGAUGAAAAGCACUUUGGAAAGAGAGUUAAACAGUACGUGAAAUUGUUGAAAGGGAAGCGCUUGCAACCAGACUUGCACGCAGUUGAUCAUCCGGUGUUCUCACCGGGGCACUCUGCUGCGUUCAGGCCAGCAUCGGUUCUGGUGGUUGGAUAAAGACCUUGGGAAUGUGGCUUCUUUCGGGGAGUGUUAUAGCCCUCGGUGCAAUGCAGCCUACCGGGACCGAGGACCGCGCUUCGGCUAGGAUGCUGGCGUAAUGGUUGUAAGCGGCCCGUCUGACA